rnacentral:rRNA from 1 species
GACGAACGCUGGCGGCGUGCUUAACACAUGCAAGUCGAACGAGGUCCAAGGUGUAGCAAUACAUCUGAAGACCUAGUGGCGAACGGGUGCGUAACACGUGAGGAACUUGUCCCGGUCUCUGGGAUAACAGUUGGAAACGACUGCUAAUACCGGAUGACGUCGGAGCAUCGCAUGGUGCGCUGACGAAAGGGUUACUGGAUCGGGAGAGCCUCGCGGCCUANCAGCUUGUUGGUGGGGUAACGGCCCACCAAGGCAUCGACGGGUAGCUGGUCUGAGAGGAUGAUCAGCCACACUGGGACUGAGACACGGCCCAGACUCCUACGGGAGGCAGCAGUGGGGAAUCUUGCGCAAUGGGCGAAAGCCUGACGCAGCAACGCCGCGUGCGGGA